CCUGGACCAGCAGUAAGUGCAACCAGUGUGGGGGCAUCCAGCCGUUCCCCCAGUAAGACUGUGGCCCCCCGUACAGCAGGCUCCACAGUCAGACAGAGGAAAGCAACGAGCAGCGGUACCCGCAGUGGUGGCAGGACCACUGGAUCGGCUGGUACCGGGGGAAUGUGGCGCUUUUACACCGAGGACUCGCCGGGUCUCAAAGUGUAAGUAUAUUGUCAGAAAAGCUGUAACUAUAUGACCUCACCAGUAUA